UGACCCACCUUCCAUUCUGACACUUUCAUGAUGUCAUGGCUUAAAUUAUUCCAUGGGUGUAUCUGCCCAGAUAGACAGUGAGUUCUUUAAGGACAACUACCCUGUUGAAUUCACUUGUGAAUUCUAAACCUGUGCAGAGUCAACUUUCUGUAGAUAAUGCCUGAACAAAAAAGUUAAUCAAUACAAACAACCAGCCCCAGAGCCUUGCUGAUGGGAGAGGCUGCCCUCCCCCAGGAUCAGCUGUGUCACAGGGCACAGGCCCGAGGAGAUGGGCCUCCAGGCAGAAGGCAGCAAUGGAGGAGCUGGAUGAAUCCCCAAAAUAAAAAAGAAAAAAAUGGACAAGUCAUAAAGUUUCAGCCAAUACCAAGGCAGGAAAUGUUGGGUGUUUACAAAGGGCUGGCCCUCCCACAGUGAGCUGCAUCUAUUUUCUGCCACUCUGCUGGCUUCCCCACAAAGGGAAGGGGCGGCCAGGCCAUGAGUCCUGUGUCCAGCAUAAGGAGAGCACCAAACAUGGGGUGCAUGACACAAGGAGAUCCUGAGAAUCCCCUCCUGCUUCUCUGUGUGUGACUGUGCUGUAAGAGAUGAGGAUGAGAGGGAAGGAAAUUGAGACAGGAGACCUUAGGUUUAUGGUAUAAAUCCACAGCAGAAUCUUGGGUAAAUGAUGCUGAAUUCUUAGAGAAAACUUUCAUCAUGUACCAAAUAGAGUCAUUUUUGCUCCUAACAGAGAUCGUCUGUCCUUAGGGCAGCCUGACUCCACACCUCUGCUUUGCCAGGGGAUUUCAGGUCCUUCCUCAAUUCUGGAAAGACCCUGGGAGCCUCCUCGUGGGACUGCCCUCCGCAAAGACCCUGGGAGCCUCCUCGUGGGACUGCCCUCCGCAGUCCUGCCCUCCCGCACAGCGGCCCUCCUGCUUUCAGAUAGACAGCCUCUUGCUCGGAAUCUGCUCCAGGGUGGAGAUUUAAAUUUGUCACGCCUCCCUAAGCCACUGGACCCCAAGGCCCAUCCCUGAUUGUUCCUUAGGGGAGCCAGAACUACUUGAGCCUGGGGCUCAGCAGCAGGGGUCUGAAUCCCUUCCCAGCCACUGCA